UCUCCUGCCCUAACCAUCCUUGUGGUAAAAAUGCAAUUUGUUUGUCCUCUGGGGAGGUUUAAAAUCUCAGCUCCUCAAAGCAUCCUCCUCUUUAUUAUUUUAAAGAAGAGAAUGAGGAAAUUGGCUGGGAAAUAAGCCUCGCCCUAUAGAGGGCCCCGUGUCUGAGACAGGCAAAGGACUCUUGAUGGAUGGAAACUAAAAAGGCUGGCUCUGGAGGAAUAGACCAAGGAAUUAGGAAAUCAAGUUGUCUGUAGAGGGUCAGGUGGUGCCUCCGUGGGAUCUAGGAUGUUGAUGGCAGGAGGAGCUUGGAGAUCAUUUAUAUUCAAAGGCCUCGUGGUUGACCCAGCAUGGUUCUGAGGGAUUUAGUUUUCCAAAGUAAUUGCUAUGUGGAUUUGUGUUGCAGCGGGGACUCAAACUCUGGUCUGCUACCUUCAGAGGUGGCUCACAGAGCCUGGAUGCAUUUACUUAAAGGCUGAGUGACCACUGGAGCAAGGGCUUUCCUUUCAGAUGUGUUCCAUGCGAAGAGGCUGGAUGGCUGACCACUCCUGUAUCCAGACCUUGGCUUAUCUGGAGACUCCCACUAAUUUUGGAAUUGCUUAAUUUGCAAGCAUGCAAAAAAGAGGUGUAAUUAUUGA